GACCACUCCGGUGGCCUAAUGGUUAGGGCGUCUGCCUUGGAUGCGAAAGGUCGCUGGUUGAACCCCGCCAGAGUCA